rnacentral:rRNA from 1 species
CGCGUAGGCGGACUGACCAGUCAGAGGUGAAAUCCCGGGGCUCAACCUCGGAACUGCCUUUGAUACUGUUAGUCUAGAGUUUGUGAGAGGGUGGCGGAAUAUCCAGUGUAGAGGUGAAAUUCGUAGAUAUUGGAUAGAACACCAGUGGCGAAGGCGGCCACCUGGCACAGUACUGACGCUGAGGCGCGAAAGCGUGGGGAGCGAACA